rnacentral:rRNA from 1 species
AUUGAACGCUGGCGGCAUGCUUUACACAUGCAAGUCGGACGGCAGCGGGGGUGCUUGCACCUGCCGGCGAGUGGCGAACGGGUGAGUAACAUAUUGGAAUGUACCGAGUAGUGGGGGAUAACCAAUCGAAAGAUUGGCUAAUACCGCAUACGUCCUGAGGGGGAAAGCAGGGGAUCUUCGGACCUUGCGCUAUUUGAGCAGCCAAUAUCUGAUUAGCUAGUUGGUGGGGUAAGGGCCCACCAAGGCGACGAUCAGUAGCGGGUCUGAGAGGAUGAUCCGCCACACUGGGACUGAGACACGGCCCAGACUCCUACGGGAGGCAGCAGUGGGGAAUUUUGGACAAUGGGGGCAACCCUGAUCCAGCCAUGCCGCGUGUCUGAAGAAGGCCUUCGGGUUGUAAAGGACUUUUGUUAGGGAAGAAAAGGGAAGUGUUAAUACCACUUUUUGCUGACGGUACCUAAAGAAUAAGCACCGGCUAACUACGUGCUAGCAGCCGCGGUAAUACGUAGGGUGCGAGCGUUAAUCGGAAUUACUGGGCGUAAAGCGAGCGCAGACGGUUACUUAAGCAGGAUGUGAAAUCCCCGGGCUCAACCUGGGAACUGCGUUCUGAACUGGGUAGCUAGAGUAUGUCAGAGGGGGGUUGAAUUUCCACGUGUAGCUGUGAAAUGCGUAUAGAUGUGGAGGAAUACCGAUGGCGAGGCAGCCCCUGGUGAUAAUAUUGACGUUUCAUGCGCGAGAGCGUGGUUGUUGACAGGGAUAUUUCCCUGAUUAUUCCAGGGCUAAUUCUGUGUGUAUUGCAUGCUUUCCGAACCGUCGACCUCUGUGGGGUGUAAAAUAACAUAUUUUUUUCUCUUGUUUGUGGUUUUUUUGUCUUUUAUGCCUGCUUGGUUGUGUGUUGUGAUGCUGACUUUGUGUCCACUGUGAUUGUAUGUGUAUUUUCUGUUAUUGUAUCCUCCCUUCUGCAUUGUGU